rnacentral:rRNA from 1 species
UAGAGGAAGUAAAAGUCGUAACAAGGUUUCCGUAGGUGAACCUGCGGAAGGAUCAUUAACGAAAUGCUUGUCGUGAAGGGUUGUAGCUGGUCCCCUCGGGGCACACGUGCACGCCCGGAUCGCAUCCACCUCCAACACCUGUGCACGACCUGUAGCUUGGGAUGAUCACGGGGCCCCCGUUGGCCACGAAUGCCCUCGUCUACGAAGUAUCUCACACACAACCAGUCAUGUGGAAUGUACACGCGAAGCGUCUAACGAACGCGACAAACACAACUUUCAACAACGGAUCUCUUGGCUCUCGCAUCGAUGAAGAACGCAGCGAAAUGCGAUAAGUAAUGUGAAUUGCAGAAUUCAGUGAAUCAUCGAAUCUUUGAACGCACCUUGCGCUCCUUGGUAUUCCAAGGAGCAUGCCUGUUUGAGUGUCAUGAAAUUCUCAACUGCCCCGAGCUCUUGUGGCUUGCGAGGUGAGGUUGGAUUUGGAGGACAUUGCCGGCGUGUGCUCUGUGCACGCUUGUCGGCCCCUCUUGAAUGCAUGAGCUUUCCAGUCCUUGGCAAAGUAUCGACGAUGUGAUAGUUAUCUGCGUCGCUCGAGAAAAGCGUGUAAGGGGAAAUCUAUGAUCGUAUCGGCCCUUCGGGGGUUCCGUGUCUGACACAUUCGACCUCAAAUCAGGUAGGACUACCCGCUGAACUUAAGCAUAUCAAUAA